rnacentral:lncRNA from 1 species
CCAGUCUGGUGGUGAGUGUCCAACUCUGGAGCCCAGGCUGUUGUUUCCCAGUCUGGUGGUGAAUCCUCCACAGUCUGAGGCCCUGCAAGCUAAAGCUCAUUCCUUGUCCUACGGUUGACAAAAAUGUGUCAGAUUGCCAUGCUUCCUCGUCUACAACUAAAGGCAGCAGGCAAGGAGAACCCACUGGGUGGUUACAGGAGCACUGAAGACUGAACUCUGACCACCCAUUCUGUUACUGGAUAGUCCUGCACAGUUCCAGGCCGUUGGUGUCCUGAACAAAGAAGUGGAAGUGACACGCACAAACAGCAAAGCAGCAAAAAGUUUAUCAAGCACAAUAACACACUCUCGGAGAGGGAAGAGCAGGCUGACCUCUGAAAAAUGAGAUCAGUUUGGUGUAUUUUGGGUCAUUUUUUUUUUUUUAGACAGAAUCUUGCUCU